rnacentral:rRNA from 1 species
CUCCUACGGGAGGCAGCAGUGGGGAAUAUUGGACAAUGGGGCGAAAACGCCUAGACUCCAGCAGUACCGCGUGAAUGAUGAAGGCCUUAGGGUUGUAAAGUCUUUAGUCAGGGAAAGAUAAUGACGGUACCUGCAGAAAAGCCCGGCUAACUCCGUGCCAGCAGCCGCGGUAAAUUC